GACGAACCGUGCGAACGUUGUUCGGAAUCACUGGGCUUAAAGGGUGCGUAGGCGGGCAAUCAAGUCCGGGGUGAAAUCCUCCAGCUUAACUGGAGAAUAGCCUUGGAUACUGGUGGUCUCGAGGGAGGUAGGGGCAGCUGGAACUUCCGGUGGAGCGGUGAAAUGCGUUGAUAUCGGAAGGAACGCCGGUGGCGAAAGCGAGCUGCUGGACCUCUUCUGACGCUGAGGCACGAAAGCCAGGGGAGCAAACGGGAUUAGAAACCCCGGUAGU
rnacentral:rRNA from 1 species